GACCCACGAUUCCCUCACCCUGGCUAGGGUUCCUAGCCCCUCCUCCUCCCCCGCCCCUCCUACGCCGCCACCGCCGCCGAGCGCUUCCUGACCUCGCCGGGAGCAGACAGCAGGACCCCACCGCCGUGCCUUCAUGGCCGCGUCAUGGAUCUCGCCGCCGUGGGCUGCUUGCUCCUCCUCGGACGGCCUGCCUCGCCCACGUCCAGGUCUAACUCGUGGGACGACGACGAUGCCGCCACCAUCGCGAAUCUCUACGGCAGGCUGUGACCAUGGCCGUGGCGCGAGGAGCGACGCCCUCCGCAAGGGCAUGCCCUGGAGCGAGGAGGACCACAGGGACCCGUGUUAUAUUGUCAUGUGCCAGAUUCAAUUGUUUGCAUCGAAGUUGUUUGGAUUCACCAGGAGGAAGCGGCAGCCAAAGUUACACAUCCAGCCAUGACGACUACAUGUAAUUGUUUGUACAUAAGCCUCAGCUCAAGAUAAGGUUGUGCUUUACGAUCCUAAUGAGGGAUUCGACAAGAAAUAUUUUCCUGCACUACACACUUAAAUGUACAUAGAGAAAAAAAAAAGCACUUCGCUCUAUUGCACACAAGCAAGAGCUAUUUCUGCACCAAUCUGUCCGAAGAUAUAAAGUUUGAACCAGCCCUUAGCUUGCAUUUGGUCUGACCUGACUCUUCUUUGUACGUAUGUAAUUGGUUUAUUUCUUGAUAGGGUGGUACUCUCUGAAUUUAUUGAUGAGCGUUCCCGUUGCUGCACCGCAUUGUGGCCAAGUCCUCUUCUUGGCCAUGCCAGUGACAUGAGCAGGACGGUGUAUACCGGCUUCCCAGACAUGUGUCUGUCGAGGCCGCACCGGGUUUGUGGAGGUGAUGGCACGAGUAUUUACCAGGAUGCUUGGAGAUGCGUUGGCAUAUGUCCAGUUCAGUGUGGUAAUCUGCAGCAAUCAAGUUAACAAAUCUGAAGCAUUUUAGCAAGGCAACGGUGCAAUUGCUCUUUUGGUGGAAGAUGAAGCUUUUGUUGGGCUUGUGAUGUUUUUUCUGAAGAAGUCUGACGAUGAACUCAAAAGACAGAUGGCAUGCGGUAUUUGUGAUAUAUAUAGAACUAAAUGAUUCAGGACUGCAUUAGCUCCAGAAAGGGUGGCAUUCUUCAUAUUUUGAUGCAACUUCAUGAUACUAGGUCGUUUCUAUUUGUUCUGAUGCAACUUCUAUAAUGGCAGGUUGCUACUACAGGGUUACCUGAUGUUGCCUCAUGUCAGUUAUAUCUUCCAAUAUUUACAGAAACUUCUGAAUCUGACACCAGGACAUGCUGAUGAUAACCUUCCAGUUUUACUGAAUCAUAGUUACUUGAGUAAUCUCUACUCCUAAAGUGUUCUUCGAAGGUGCUCAUCACAUCUGUCGAUAUACAACACCGUAGUUAUUGAUGGACGAACUUGGCAUCUCAGCCAGUACUCUGCCUCAUCAAUAGUUUGAUGUCCCUUUGCAUGAAGUUAGGCCAACAUCAUAAGAUCCGUAGCCUUUUUGAGGAGAUGAAGGUGAAGAUUAUUAAGCCGGAUAACCUCACAUGUUGCAUUCUAAUGACCAGUCGUGCGGCAUUGAACAGGAUAGAUGUUGUUGGAGAAGUUUUAGAAGAAAUGCAAGAAAAGGAUGUAGUUCUAGGGUGGUCUGCAUAUAGCAUGGUUUCUAUCCACCUGAGUGCUGGUUUGGUUUUAAAUAACAGUCCGCUUUAAAUAAACUCGAGGGCCUUGAUUUUAGAAGGUAACAUAAAUAUCUAGAUUGAGUUCAUGGUCAUGGGGCUGUUUGUUACAGUUCAGGCAAGAGUUUAGUUCAUAAUGCUCAAUUUCAUCAUGCUUGUAUCACCACCACCGUGUAAUAUAACAUAGUACUAUGCACAAUGAUGCGUCAGCACUAAGCUCAGCAUCUAAAUAACUUGAAAUGCUGGCUCAGAGUUUUUUUAGUUCAUAAAAAAUGAUUUUAUUUCUCCUGAUGCAUUGUUAUUUAGGCUUCAUUAUUCUUCAAUUUCUGGCAAAGUAAUAAACAUGCCAUAUAUAAAUUGGUAAUGAACCGCUAAAUAUAUAUAUGUUUUGUUAUUUAGGCUUAUUAUUCUACAAUUUCUGUCAAAUUAAUGAACAUGCCAUACAUAAGUUGUUUUUGAACCCUAUAUAUAUAUGUCCCCUGUUGCAACGUACAACCUCUUUUCCUUUAUUUCUUUUUUUAAUAUUAAAGGCAGGUGAGUUUUUUUUACAUUGUUUAUAAAUUUUUAAAACCAUGGGAAAGUAGUGCAUCAGGGAAGGUUCACCACUAGACACCCCUGAUUGCAACAAAAUAUCCUUUAUGUUUGAUUUUUCUGGUAAUUAUGUAUUUAACAGAUCUCUCCUUAAAAAAUAAUAACAACCAGUGUUGAAUUAAUAUAGUUCUAAAUCUAUAUUUAGACACAAUUGGUGUUGAGGCAUUAAAUAUGUAUACCCCGUUGCAACUCACGGGCUCCUCAGCCAUAUGUAUGCUUCGACCUAUUUAUAUGUUGUUUUCUUGGGCCUUGGUGCUCUCUACAUCGCUUCACAAACUGUGACAGUAACAGUGAGGCUACUCCCUGUCCUUCUCAUCUUUCAAACCCGUGGCACUGAUGGAUCACACCUUAACCUUGCAGGAGUUGUUAUGGACCAUCUGGUUUUCUUCAGGAAUCCACACCACCGGCAAUUCUAAUGAGACCAUCCAGCUGACAUCCUUCUUGCUACAACCACUCUGUUCUGUACUUCUAUUGCCUCAUACGGCCUUUGGCAGAUACCAGUGAGAUGAACUCCACUAAAAAUCCCUCAAGAAUUGUGAACCCAUUAAUUAGGGAUUUAACUUUAGAAAAAUCAACAGAGUCUACAGCUAGGAGAGAGGUACGAACAAAGCUACAAAGUGAUAAGGGCACAUGAUCUAGAAAUGGAAGGAGUACCUUUUGGUGCCUCAUUGGUUAUGGUUGUGAUACGUAUUUUGUGCAUCUAUUUGUAAAAGGAGUAGAAACCCAACCUAGAAGCAUAAAGUGACAGAGAAAUACCUGCUGCUCCUUAAACAGGUCAAGAAAAAAGAUGAAGUAUCUCUGCGAGAAGUUGCCUUUUCUUUAAGCCUGUCGUCUUUUCAAAAUCUCAUCUACCCCCGAUUCUGUCUGGACUUGGAUAUGAUUAUGGAAUCGAUCCGGAGGUUGCACAGAGCUCUGCAGAAUUGCACUACAAUGGGCAAUAUGAAGCCUUGGCUGCAGUAGGCAUACCAGACUACAAGAAGUACUGGAGGAGAUUUCUCACUUGAGAUCAAUUCAUGGAUGAGUGCAAUGUAAAUCCAUAGCACACUUGACCAGAACCAUCGACAACAUUUUGUGAUGCCCACUAGCCUUCUCCCUAGAAUCAGUCUCUGUCGACUGGAUGCCUAUAGCUCCCAAGAGUUGCACUGUCAUUGACUACCAUCGACAACAAACUGCACACAGCAGCUGAAAAGGAGAAGAGGUGCUGCCAUUAGCCUACCGGUGUCGACAGUAUUGAGCAGAACAUCACCUGUCCAUUGCACUAAAUAGAUUGAUUGAUGGUUUGGGAUCUUGCGAUUUUUCAUGUAGCAGGCAAAGGAUGAUGUCUUGUCCAGAUUGUUUGGUAAGAUCAUCUAUGCAAAGAUUCGUUUCAUGUUUCUCUCUUUUGCCAAGAAGUGCACACACAUGUAUUCUCAUUUUUUGGUUGUUAGCUGUAGCGGGGUGAUUAAUUUUCUUGGUAGCUUUGCGCCUAUGAAACUGUGGAUAACAUGUAUAUUGUCUGCUAUA